rnacentral:rRNA from 1 species
UGGGGAAUAUUGCACAAUGGGCGAAAGCCUGAUGCAGCAACGCCGCGUGAGUGAUGAAGGCCUUCGGGUUGUAAAGCUCUGUCUUUUGGGACGAUAAUGACGGUACCAAAGGAGGAAGCCACGGCUAACUACGUGCCAGCAGCCGCGGUAAUACGUAGGUGGCAAGCGUUGUCCGGAUUUACUGGGCGUAAAGGAUGCGUAGGCGGAUUUUUAAGUGAGAUGUGAAAACCCUAAGCUUAACUUGGGGACUGCAUUUCAUACUGGAAAUCUAGAGUGCGGGAGAGGAGAAUGGAAUUCCUAGUGUAGCGGUGAAAUGCGUAGAGAUUAGGAAGAACACCAGUGGCGAAGGCGAUUCUCUGGACCGUAACUGACGCUGAGGCAUGAAAGCGUGGGUAGCAAACAGGAUUAGAUACCCUGGUAGUCCACGCCGUAAACGAUGAGUACUAGGUGUAGGAGGUAUCGACCCCUUCUGUGCCGCAGUUAACACAAUAAGUACUCCGCCUGGGAAGUACGAUCGCAAGAUUAAAACUUAAAUGAAUUGACGGGGUCAUAGCUGUUUCCU